UGGGCCGAGAUGGGCUUCGUGAUC
rnacentral:siRNA from 1 species